AAAUUAAAAUAAUACAAGACUAACAAAGGCCAGAGGCUCCUGACUUGGGACAGUUUUUUGUUGAAUGUUUAAUGAUACAUUCAUAGUUACAUUAAGGUUUAUGACCCCAUUUGUAGCCAUUUUUGUACGAAUUUUUUCAAACUUCAAUUGUAUCAAAACUACAAAUGUAAUGAACAAUAGGGAUAGGCCAUUUUGUACAUAUACCAAGGGGAAACUUGAUGCAAAGCAUUAUUAUUUACCGUUUCAUUGCAUUUAAUAGAAAAAGAGUACUUUGUGACAAAUAAAUCAAGAUUUUUUAUAGAAAAUCCACAGCCUUUAAUACAGAGAUUUUUUUUAUAAAAUUUGAAACAUAUAUUACUCACUUGCUUUUAAGAUGUGCUGGUGUUUAUUUUUUACAAAAAGUUCUAAGCAGCCUGUAAUUUCCAAAAUACCUCGUGCUGAGUCCCUAAAAGGUGUACUUGAUUUGGUCCAUAUUUUAAUUUGUUUUAACCAAUAGAUACAUUAAUAAAUUCGUUUUAAUGUUUAAGGAAAUCAAUGCUAGCACUGCAUGCAAUAAUCUUAUAUCUAUCAGUCAUGAAAUUGCCAAAUAUUAGGGUACAAGGAUAAAUGCUGUGGAUUUUCUAUAAAAUUUCUAUUUGUUUAGACUUUAGCAUUGAAUUAACACAAGGGUAUACAUAAUCCUUAAAGAACAUUUUAUUUGUGUUUACGAAUUUCAAGGAGAUGAUAAAAGAGUCUUAAUGUAUCUUUUAAAAUGUGUCAUUUGCUUCUAUAGAAUAUAUGGUAUGAAAUGUUGAUUUUACACAAUUGAUUCUGAUUUAUUUGAAAUGUAACAAUGAAGUAGUAAAGUAUUAGUUAAAUCAUAUGUUAUAAAUAUUUAUAAAUUUGUUUUGAACCUACCUCAAAGGUUCUAAAAGUGAACAUUCAUUUAUAAAAUGAUAUUUAAUUUAAAAAGUUUUUAACAAAUGUUCUUUAAUAGAUAUGAAUGAUAGAAAAAACAAUUGUUAAUUAUUUAUUGUACAUGGCAUUAGAGAUACUCUUUCAGGCAUUUAACUGUUUUUUACACUGCCAACUGUCUAUUGAUACUGUGAAUUGCUUGCCACAUGGAGCAAAAUUCAUAAAAAGUGUGAUUUACAGAGAUUUGAUUUUAAUUCAUGGAUUAAGAGACAUUAUUCUGAAUGAAAAGUUUUCUUACAUGUAUUUAUCUUUUAACCUAAAUGUUUUACACUAUUUGGCUUUGACUUAUAUAUAUAUAUAUGCUUGAAGAGUAAGGUUAGCUUUUGCUUGCAUUUCUAAAGAAAAUUUGACUUUUAGAAAAAUAUGACGAUAUUAAAAAAGUUGAUCAACUUAACAUUCUAGCAAGGUGAGAUAUUAGAGAAAUAACUUGAUAUUCUGUCACCCAAGAGAAUACUUUUUAAGAGAUUGCACGAUAAUGAAUUGAAUUUACAAUAUUUGUAUUUACCUUCUUAAAGUGAUGUUGCUGCAUGAGCUGACUUCAUUUGUUAUUGUGUUCCCAUUGUGUACCACCCUUGUUAUACUUUAAGCAAACAUAGAAUAUUUAUAUUUAUAUUAACAUUCAGGCUGCAUUUAAUAUACUGUGUACUUCUGAAAAAAAAGGAACGUGAUAUAUUCCUGUUGUUUUAAUAUGGAAAAUGUAUCAUCCUUAAUCAAUAAAACUUGUUAAACAAA
rnacentral:lncRNA from 1 species